rnacentral:lncRNA from 1 species
CCAGGCGCCACUUGGAGGAGAUCACUCUGGAAAGCUCCCUGAUGCCCAGCAAGCCCAUCACCAUGGCAACCUAUCCAUCCUGAGCUGCUCUUCCCUUGGGCCUCCAGAAAGGAGGCUGACUGAGGUGAUGCAAGUUUCUCUGAGCCUUACAUGCCAUCAGUAGGAAUCCAUUCAGGAGAAAGAGAGAUCAGAAGAGAAGCCCGAGUGGAAAUGAGAACAAGCUGCGAAGGGGCCUGGCAUUCCAGUCACUCUAGUGAGCCGCCUCCUCUAGGUCUUCGGGGCAAGGCUGGCUGCAGAAAGAGCCUCUUGGCCCCGGAAAAUUCACACCCAGGUUGGUCAGCUAUCUUCACCAUGCCUGGCAAGACCUCUGCCAGCCUGGACAGACCUGGAAUGUGCUGUCUUGAACUGGGUGGGACUUUGCGGCAGAAUAAAGGGAAGGUGAGCGAGGUCGUCA